rnacentral:misc_RNA from 1 species
GAUGAAGAACGUAGCGAAAUGCGAUAAGUAGUGUGAAUUGCAGAAUUCAGUGAAUCAUCGAAUCUUUGAACGCACAUUGCGCCCCUUGGUAUUCCAUGGGGCAUGCCUGUUCGAGCGUCAUUUACACCCUCAAGCUCUGCUUGGUGUUGGGCGUCUGUCCCGCUGCUUUGCGCGGACUCGCCUCAAAGGUAUUGGCAGCGAUCAUGCCAGCUUCUCGCGCAGCACAUUGCGCUUCUUGAAGUUCUGGUGGAUCAGCGUCCAUUAAGCUUACCUUCAUGACUUGACCUCGGAUCAGGUAGGGAUACCCGCUGAACUUAAGCAUAUCAAUAAGCGGAGA